rnacentral:lncRNA from 1 species
UAAUUCUUCAAGAACAAAGGGAGAGAUGUGAACAUUGGAGGAGAAGGUAUAAGAAUUUAAGGCUAAUUAUUUUUGAGUGAUUUGUUUUGCAGGAUUUCAAGACUUCAAGACUCCUAGUUGUUGUCUAAGUCAUAGAGUUUGUUUUAGGAGUUUUGAUGUAAUUUUGAGUUUUCAAAUUGUAUUUGGAUUACACGCGAGGGGUUCGAUGUUUUGGUGAUGACAUUGAACUUCGUUUGUCUUUAAAUUGUAAUUUGUGAGUUUGUGUGUGUUUUGUCACGAAAUUGCCAAAGGGGGAGAUUGUUAAGGAUUUUGUAUUGGCAAGUUUCGUGAAGUGAGUCGGAGUCUUGAAGGANUGAUUAUCUUUUAACCAAAUACAAGUAAACUAACACAUUUACAUUCACUCUUUCCUUUUUCCCAUUCAUAAUUAUAUGAAUUACAUCCAACCCCAAAAUAUAAGAUUUACAUCUUUUUACAUUUCGAGUUCAACAUACAA